GAGCUCAUCGACCUGCUACAACAGGUCCAGCUGGCACAGGAAAUCGCCUUGCAAAAGUCCCAGCAUCUCCACCUGAGACAGAAGAACACUAGCUGCUACAAGAAAGCCCUGGAUACACAGGUGGAAACAGAGAAGGGCAAGCAGAAGGCCAAGGGAGAUAGGAGAGUGAUGUUCCCGCCCAUCCAGGGACAGACAGCACCAGGAGACGACUCAGAG